GAUGAACGCUGGCGGCGUGCCUAAUACAUGCAAGUCGAGCGAACGGACGAGUAGCUUGUUUCACUGAUGUUAGCGGCGGACGGGUGAGUAACACGAGGAUAACCUACCUAUAAGCCUGGGAUAACUUCGGGAAACCGGAGCUAAUACCGGAUAAUAUUUUGAACCGCAUGGUUCAAAAGUGAAAGACGGUCUUGCUGUCACUUAUAGAUGGAUCCGCGCUGCAUUAGCUAGUUGGUAAGGUAACGGCUUACCAAGGCAACGAUGCAUAGCCGACCUGAGAGGGUGAUCAGCCACACUGGAACUGAGACACGGUCCGGACUCCUACGGGAGGCAGCAGUAGGGAGUGGUCCGCAAUGGGCGGAAGCCUGGCGGGACAACGCCGCGUGGGUGAUGAAGGGCUUCGGAUCGUAGAACUCUGUUAUUAGGGAAGAACAUAUGUGUAAGUAACUGUGCACUUCUUGACGGUACCUAAUCAGAAAGCCACGGCUAACUACGUG
rnacentral:rRNA from 1 species